AUUGAACGCUGGCGGCAUGCUUUACACAUGCAAGUCGAACGGUAACAGGCCGCAAGGUGCUGACGAGUGGCGAACGGGUGAGUAAUGCAUCGGAACGUGCCCAGUCGUGGGGGAUAACGCAGCGAAAGCUGCGCUAAUACCGCAUACGAUCUAUGGAUGAAAGCGGGGGACCGUAAGGCCUCGCGCGAUUGGAGCGGCCGAUGUCAGAUUAGGGAGUUGGUGGGGUAAAGGCUCACCAAGCCGACGAUCUGUAGCUGGUCUGAGAGGACGACCAGCGACACGGGGACUGAGACACGGCCCAGACUCCGACGGGAGGCAGCAGUGGGGAAUGUUGGACAAUGGGCGCAAGCCUGAUCCAGCAAUGCCGCGUGCAGGAAGAAGGCCUUCGGGUUGUAAACUGCUUUUGUACGGAACGAAACGGUCCUGGUUAAUACCCGGGGCUAAUGACGGUACCGUAAGAAUAAGCACCGGCUAACUACGUGCCAGCCGCCGCCGUAAUAC
rnacentral:rRNA from 1 species